AGCAGCCGCGGUAAUUCCAGCUCCAAUAGCGUAUAUUAAAGUUGUUGCAGUUAAAAAGCUCGUAGUUGAAUUUCAGGCCUGGCUGGACGGUCCGCCUUUUGGGUGAGUACUGUCUGUGGUCGGGCCCUACCUUCUGGCGAAGCGUCAUGGUCUUAACCGGCCGUGGCGGGGAACCAGGACUUUUACUGUGAAAAAAUUGAGUGUUCAAAGCAGGCAGUCGCUUGAAUACAUUAGCAUGGAAUAAUGGAAUAGGACAAUGGUUCUAUUUGUUGGUUUCUAGGACCGUUGUAAUGAUUAAUAGGG
rnacentral:rRNA from 1 species